AUGCUUUCUUGUGAAUGCAAAAGGUGGGUACUAUCUGGCAUACCUUGCCAUCAUGCAAUUGCAUGUUUUAGGCAUGAGAGAAUUGAGCCAGAGAGCAUGGUCCAUUCAUGCUACACUGUUGAGGAAUAUAAGAAGUGUUAUGGAUUUAAUAUGAUGCCAAUGAGGGACCCACAUCAAUGGGAAAAAAUGCAUGGCAUUGCUGUUCACCCACCCCUGUACACAAAAGUAAUGGGCAGGCCUAAGAAGAACAGGAAAAAAGAUCCAGAAGAGAAGAAAGACAAGACUGGGGUGAAAAAAUUGAGCAAACAUGGUGUGACCAUGCAUUGCUCUGUUUGUGGAGCUGCUGACCAUAACAAGAAGGGCCACCACAAUCAUGUUAAUCAAACAACAACUGAGGAAACAACAAUUGAAGAAGAAUAUGACGACCCAAGCAUAAUUGCUAACAUCAUGCCACACACAGUCUACCCUCAGCUCGAUCCAACACAAACCCCUGACUCAAUGGUUUACAAGAUGCAAGAAAUGGAGAAGUUUACAUAUCUAGCACCUAGGGAAUUUACCCCCCUACCUGAGUCUAGCUUCAUUGCCAAUGCCAGAGACUCAAUUCCUAUGGUUAGAGUUACAACAGCCAUGUCAAGAGGCAGGGUGAGAAAGACUGCUAAUGAGAAAGUUGCAAGGCCAAGAAAAAAGCAGGCAAGGGAAGGCAAUAUUGCAAUAGGAAGCAAUGUUGCAACAACUGGAAGCAAUGCUCCAACAAGUGGGGCCAAUGCAAGAGGAGGUGGCAAUGCAAGAGGAGGUGGCAAUGCAAGAGGAGGGGCCAAUGCAAGAGGAGGUGGCAAUGCAAGAGGAGGGGCCAAUGCAAGAGGAGGUGGCAAUCCAAGAGGAGCAAGAGCUGCUGCUCCAGGUUUCUUCAACUUGCUAUUUGGACCCGAUGGAUCCACAAUACAUGAACCGCCACUUGUCAUGCAGGGUGAGGAGGAGGUCAUUUUUAGCCAAAAUGCACCAGGAGCUAGCCAGGAUCCUUAUCUCUAUGAUGAAGGUUGGCCUGAUUAUCUGCAUGACUUUUUGUCUUUGUAG
rnacentral:rRNA from 1 species